GCAAAGAUGGAGACCUCCGUGUAGCUGAAGGAGACUUUUACAGCUUCAGUGUGACCAGUGUCACAGAUGAAGUAUAUAACUGCGUGGCCACAAAUGAUCUCGGCAAUGAAACAUCAUCAAAAAUCCUUCUGAAUAUUAAAGCCAAAUCACCUGAUCAGUCUUUUCCACUGGUGCCAGUUAUUGGAGGAAUCAUUGCGAUCAUCGUUCUCAUCUCCCUGGUUACCUGUGUUUGCACUCUGUGUAGGAGGCCGAUCAAGUUGACACAUGCAACUCAACAACAGAAUCAGACUCAAACAGGUGAGGAGCUGACUGUUGAAGAGCCAGCAAGAAAAACAGAAGAAGAAAAAGAAGAAGAAGAAGAAGAAGAAGACAUCCAUUAUGGAGAGAUUGACUUCUCCAAGCAGAGACCAGAAUUGUCCUCAUCCUUGGAGCAGGACAUAGGACAGCAGCAGGACACACUGUAUGCACAAGUCAAAGUGUCCCAGACAGCAGACAGCCGAACACAGACUGCUGGCGGCCCAGAGGAUCUCUACGCUCAAGUGAAGAAAAAAUAGAGUUGUUUUGUUUUUGUACAGCAAGAUUGCAUUUGAUUCAUUUGAAAUGUACUUUUUAAUUUUAUUCAUUAGAUCUUGUUUAUGUUCAACAGUAGAAAAAAAACCCCGGAUCCUGGACAGGAACAUGUACAUUUUAUUGCCUAGUGUUCAAUAAAGGGAAACUCAAAACCUC